CGGGCCGUGGCGCAGUUGGCUAGCGCGCCUGCUUUGGGAGCAGGAGGUCGUGGGUUCAAGUCCCACCGGCCCGACCA
rnacentral:tRNA from 2 species